CCUACGGGGGAUAGCAGUGAGGAAUAUUGGUCAAUGGACGAGAGUCUGAACCAGCCAAGUAGCGUGAAGGAUGACUGCCCUAUGGGUUGUAAACUUCUUUUAUAAAGGAAUAAAACGAGGCACGUGUGCCUUUUUGCAUGUACUUUAUGAAUAAGGAUCGGCUAACUCCGUGCCAGCAGCCGCGGUAAUACGGAGGAUCCGAGCGUUAUCCGGAUUUAUUGGGUUUAAAGGGAGCGUAGAUGGGUUGUUAAGUCAGUUGUGAAAGUGUGCGGCUCAACCGUAAAAUUGCAAUUGAUACUGGCAGGCUUGAGUACGGAUGAGGUAGGAGGAAUGCGUGGUGUAGCGGUGAAAUGCUUAGAUAUCACGAAGAACCCCGAUUGAGAAGGCAGCUUACGAAACUGUGACUGACAUUGAUGCACGAAAGUGUGGGUAUCAAACAGGAUUAGAUACCCCUGUAGUC
rnacentral:rRNA from 1 species